rnacentral:rRNA from 1 species
ACGCUGGCGGCGUGCUUAACACAUGCAAGUCGAACGAAAAUACCAAGCUUGCUUGGUUGAUUAGUGGCGAACGGGUGAGUAACACGUGAGUAACCUGCCCCUUACUUUCUGGAUAACUGCUCGAAAGGGUAGCUAAUACGGGAUAUUCUGGCCUUCCUGCAUGGGUUGGUUUGGAAAGGUUUUUUCUGGUGAGGGAUGGGCUCGCGGCCUAUCAGCUUGUUGGUGGGGUGAUGGCCUACCAAGGCUUUGACGGGUAGCCGGCCUGAGAGGGUGGACGGUCACACUGGGACUGAGAUACGGCCCAGACUCCUACGGGAGGCAGCAGUGGGGAAUAUUGCACAAUGGGCGUAAGCCUGAUGCAGCGACGCCGCGUGAGGGAUGAAGGCCUUCGGGUUGUAAGCCUCUUUCGUCAGGGAACAAGGCACUGCUUUUGGUGGUGUUGAGGGUACCUGGAUAAGAAGCGCCGGCUAACUACGUGCCAGCAGCCGCGGUAAUACGUAGGGCGCAAGCGUUGUCCGGAAUUAUUGGGCGUAAAGAGCUCGUAGGCGGCUGGUCGCGUCUGUCGUGAAAACUUCCGGCUCAACCGGGGGCUUGCGGUGGGUACGGGCCGGCUAGAGUGCGGUAGGGGUAACUGGAACUCCUGGUGUAGCGGUGGAAUGCGCAGAUAUCAGGAAGAACACCGAUGGCGAAGGCAGGUUACUGGGCCGUUACUGACGCUGAGGAGCGAAAGCGUGGGGAGCGAACAGGAUUAGAUACCCUGGUAGUCCACGCUGUAAACGUUGGGCACUAGGUGUGAGGCUCCUUUCCGGGGGUUUUGCGCCGUAGCUAACGCAUUAAGUGCCCCGCCUGGGGAGUACGGCCCCAAGGCUAAAACUCAAAGGAAUUGACGGGGGCCCGCACAAGCGGCGGAGCAUGC